AUGGCUCUGCAGAAACUCUUCUAUAUCUCACUCUUUCUGCUAGUAUGCACAGCCAAGGAGAUCAACCCAGAAGCAGAGGCACUACUCCGAUGGAAGUCCAGUUUGAUUCGAGCCAACUCGCUGUCCUCCUGGUCGAUUUCCAGUCCCAUGUGUUCUUGGUUUGGCGUCACUUGUGACACUGCUGGACAUGUUACCGAGCUCCGUCUUCCCAUUGUGGGCCUUCAUGGUACGCUACACGCCUUAUACUCUCCAGUGCUCCAAAACCUCACCAUGCUUGACCUUAGCACAAAUAACCUUGGUGGUGUUGUCCCAGCAAAUAUCUCUCUGUUUCGCACCCUCACCGUUCUGAACUUGAGCAGCAACAAUCUUGUUGGUGCCAUCCCCUACCAACUCAGCAAGCUACCAAUGAUUAUCAAGUUAGAUUUGGGAAAUAACAACCUUACCAACCCAGAAUAUGCCAAAUUCUCACCCAUGUCCACUUUAAAGCUGUUAUCUCUAGCUAAUAACAAUCUCAGUGGUACCUUCCCACAAUUCAUCCUCAACUGCACCCAUGCGAGGAUGAGGUUCCUCGAUUUAUCAGGUAACGCCUUCACAGGGCCGUUACCAGAUUCACUGCCGGAGAUUGUCCCAAGGUUGAGGUAUCUAAAUCUGUCCAUUAAUAUAUUCUCUGGCUCCAUACCUUGCUCGCUCUCAAGGCUCCAAAAGCUAGAGAUACUAACUCUCUAG
rnacentral:rRNA from 1 species